GCGCACCAGGCGCGAAAACUUUACAAUGUGCGAAAGCACGAUAAGGGAACUCUGAGUGCCUCCUAAGGAGGCUGUUCAGGUGUCUAAAAAGCACCUGAAGGAAGGGCUGGGUAAGACCGGUGCCAGCCGCCGCGGUAACACCGGCAGCCCAAGUGGUAGCCACGUUUAUUGGGUCUAAAGCGUCCGUAGCCGGCUGGGUAAGUUCCUUGGGAAAUUUGGCUGCUUAACAGUCAAGCUUUCAGGGAAUACUGCCCGGCUUGGGGACCGGGAGAGGUCAGAGGUACUCCAGGGGUAGGGGUGAAAUCCAUUAAUCCUUGGGGGCCACCGGUAGCGAAGGCGUCUGACCAGACCGGGUCCGACGGUGAGGGACGAAGGCUAGGGGCGCGAACC
rnacentral:rRNA from 1 species